rnacentral:rRNA from 1 species
UACGUAGGGGGCGAGCGUUGUCCGGAGUUACUGGGCGUAAAGGGCAUGCAGGCGGUCGUACGCGUUUCGGGUGACAGCGGGUGGCUUAACUACCCGAGUGUUCGAAAGACGGUACGACUUGAGGGCUCGAGAGGGACACGGAAUUCCGGGUGGAGUGGUGAAAUGCGUAGAUAUCGUAAGGAAGACCAGUGGCGAAGGCGGGUCUCUGGACAGUUCCUGACGCUGAGGCACGAAGGUCAGGGGAGCAAACGGG